rnacentral:rRNA from 1 species
AGAGUUUGAUCCUGGCUCAGAACGAACGCUGGCGGCGUGCUUAACACAUGCAAGUCGAGUGCGCGGUUGUAGCAAUACAACUGGCGCACGGCGCACGGGUGCGUAACACGUGGGUAACCUGCCCUUUGGUGGGGAAUAACUCCGCGAAAGCGGAGCUAAUUCCGCAUAAGAUCCGCAAGGAUGAAAGCCGCAAGGCGCCGAAGGAGGGGCCCGCGCCCGAUUAGCUAGUUGGUAGGGUAACGGCCUACCAAGGCUUUGAUCGGUAGCUGGUCUGAGAGGAUGAUCAGCCACACUGGAACUGAGACACGGUCCAGACUCCUACGGGAGGCAGCAGUGGGGAAUCUUGCACAAUGGGCGAAAGCCUGAUGCAGCGACGCCGCGUGGGGGAUGAAGCAUUUCGGUGUGUAAACCCCUUUCGAUCCGGACGAAACCCCGCAAGGGAUUGACGGUACGGAUAUAAGAAGCCCCGGCUAACUACGUGCCAGCAGCCGCGGUAAGACGUAGGGGGCCAGCGUUGUUCGGAAUUACUGGGUGUAAAGGGUUCGUAGGCGGUGCGGCAAGUUGGGAGUGAAAUCUCUGGGCUUAACCCAGAGGCUGCUUCCAAAACUGCUGUGCUUGAGUGUGGGAGAGGCGCGUGGAAUUGCAGGUGCAGCGGUGAAAUGCGUAGAUAUCUGCAGGAACACCCGUGGCGAAAGCGGCGCGCUGGACCACUACUGACGCUGAGGAACGAAAGCUAGGGGAGCAAACAGGAUUAGAUACCCUCGUAGUCC